GAUGAAGAACGCAGCGAAAUGCGAUAAGUAGUGUGAAUUGCAGACUAGAGUGAAUCAUCGAGUUUUUGAACGCAUGUUGCGCUCUCUGGUAGUCCGGGGAGCAUGCUUGGCUGAGGGUCGGUAAAACCAUCUCUACUUUUUAGAGGUCUAUGGGUGUCAAUCCGGUUGCCUCUUUGGAUAACUGGUCACCUGAAAUAAUAGGCUCCGCUGCGUUUUUUGCGGACUCGUGUAGUAAGCUGUUAAGUUAGCAUGACUCACGAAAGCCGAAUGCAAGUGAAGAAGCCAUGUUUUGGUUUUUCGAAACCAAAUGCGUCUUGCGGCGCACUUUUCUUAUUCCUGACCUCAGAUCAAGCAAGAACACCCGCUGAACUUAAGCAUAUCAAUAAGCGGAGGA
rnacentral:misc_RNA from 1 species